rnacentral:rRNA from 1 species
UCGACGGGAUUAGUAGACAGAAACCUCGGUGGAAGAUUACUAAUGAGAGUGGCGAACGGGUGAGUAACGCGUGAGCAACCUGCCUAUGACAGUGGGAUAGCCUCGGGAAACCGGGAUUAAUACCACAUAAAAUCGUAGAAACACAUGUUUUAACGGUAAAAGAUUUAUCGGUCAUAGAUGGGCUCGCGUCUGAUUAGCUAGUUGGUGAGAUAACAGCCCACCAAGGCGACGAUCAGUAGCCGGUCUGAGAGGAUGAACGGCCACAUUGGAACUGAGACACGGUCCAAACUCCUACGGGAGGCAGCAGUGGGGAAUAUUGCACAAUGGGGGAAACCCUGAUGCAGCGACGCCGCGUGAACGAAGAAGAUAUUCGUAUCGUAAAGUUCUGUCCUAUGGGAAGAUAAUGACAGUACCAUAGAAGAAAGCUCCGGCUAAAUACGUGCCAGCAGCCGCGGCAAUACGUAUGGAGCGAGCGUUGUCCGGAAUUAUUGGGCGUAAAGGGUACGCAGGCGGUUUAAUAAGUCGAAUGUUAAAGAUCGGGGCUCAACCCCGUAAAGCAUUGGAAACUGAUAAACUUGAGUAGUGGAGAGGAAAGUGGAAUUCCUAGUGUAGUGGUGAAAUACGUAGAUAUUAGGAGGAAUACCAGUAGCG